rnacentral:rRNA from 1 species
GGAAUCUUCCACAAUGGACGCAAGUCUGAUGGAGCAACGCCGCGUGAGUGAAGAAGGUCUUCGGAUCGUAAAACUCUGUUGUUAGAGAAGAACACGAGUGAGAGUAACUGUUCUUGUAUUGACGGUAUCUAACCAGAAAGCCACGGCUAACUACGUGCCAG